rnacentral:rRNA from 1 species
AGUCGAGCGGGGUGAUGGUGCUUGCACUAUCACUUAGCGGCGGACGGGUGAGUAAUGCUUAGGAAUCUGCCUAUUAGUGGGGGACAACAUCUCGAAAGGGAUGCUAAUACCGCAUACGUCCUACGGGAGAAAGCAGGGGAUCACUUGUGACCUUGCGCUAAUAGAUGAGCCUAAGUCGGAUUAGCUAGUUGGUGGGGUAAAGGCCUACCAAGGCGACGAUCUGUAGCGGGUCUGAGAGGAUGAUCCGCCACACUGGGACUGAGACACGGCCCAGACUCCUACGGGAGGCAGCAGUGGGGAAUAUUGGACAAUGGGGGGAACCCUGAUCCAGCCAUGCCGCGUGUGUGAAGAAGGCCUUAUGGUUGUAAAGCACUUUAAGCGAGGAGGAGGCUCUUUUGGUUAAUACCCAAGAUGAGUGGACGUUACUCGCAGAAUAAGCACCGGCUAACUCUGUGCCAGCAGCCGCGGUAAUACAGAGGGUGCAAGCGUUAAUCGGAUUUACUGGGCGUAAAGCGCGCGUAGGCGGCCAAUUAAGUCAAAUGUGAAAUCCCCGAGCUUAACUUGGGAAUUGCAUUCGAUACUGGUUGGCUAGAGUGUGGGAGAGGAUGGUAGAAUUCCAGGUGUAGCGGUGAAAUGCGUAGAGAUCUGGAGGAAUACCGAUGGCGAAGGCAGCCAUCUGGCCUAACACUGACGCUGAGGUGCGAAAGCAUGGGGAGCAAACAGGAUUAGAUACCCUGGUAGUCCAUGCCGUAAACGAUGUCUACUAGCCGUUGGGGCCUUUGAGGCUUUAGUGGCGCAGCUAACGCGAUAAGUAGACCGCCUGGGGAGUACGGUCGCAAGACUAAAACUCAAAUGAAUUGACGGGGGCCCGCACAAGCGGUGGAGCAUGUGGUUUAAUUCGAUGCAACGCGAAGAACCUUACCUGGCCUUGACAUAGUAGAAACUUUCC